UACAGAGGGUGCGAGCGUUGUCCGGAAUCACUGGCGUAAAGGGCGCGUAGGUGGCGACCCAAGUCGAUGGUGAAGCUCGCCGCUCAACGGCGAGUCGGCCACCGAUACUGGGUUGCUCGAGCGACUGUAGAGGCUAAUGGAAUUCCGGGUGUAGCGGUGGAAUGGCGUAGAGAUCCGGAAGAACACCGGUGGCGAAGGCGGUUAGCUGG
rnacentral:rRNA from 1 species